rnacentral:rRNA from 1 species
GACGAACGCUGGCGGCGUGCUUAACACAUGCAAGUCGAACGGAAAGGCCCUGCUUUUGUGGGGUGCUCGAGUGGCGAACGGGUGAGUAACACGUGAGUAACCUGCCCUUGACUUUGGGAUAACUUCAGGAAACUGGGGCUAAUACCGGAUAGGAGCUCCUGCUGCAUGGUGGGGGUUGGAAAGUUUCGGCGGUUGGGGAUGGACUCGCGGCUUAUCAGCUUGUUGGUGGGGUAGUGGCUUACCAAGGCUUUGACGGGUAGCCGGCCUGAGAGGGUGACCGGCCACAUUGGGACUGAGAUACGGCCCAGACUCCUACGGGAGGCAGCAGUGGGGAAUAUUGCAAAAUGGGCGGAAGCAUGAUGCAGCAACGCCGCGUGCGGGAUGACGGCCUUCGGGUUGUAAACCGCUUUCGCCUGUGACGAAGCGUGAGUGACGGUAAUGGGUAAAGAAGCACCGGCUAACUACGUG